rnacentral:rRNA from 1 species
CAUGGCUUUUUGUUAUUAAUAUAAGGUCUGACCUGCCCAAUGAUAGUAUAUUAAAUGGCCGCGGUAUUUUGACCGUGCAAAGGUAGCAUAAUCAUUAGUUUUUUAAUUGAAAGCUUGUAUGAAAGGUUGAAUGAGAAAAUAACUGUCUUUGUGAUAUUUGAUUAGAAUUUUAUCUUUAAGUAAAAAAGCUUAAAUUUAAUUUAAAGACGAGAAGACCCUUUAGAGUUUUAUAAAAUUUGUGUUUUUGAUUUUUUAGAAUUAAUUAUAAUAAAGUAAGAUUUUAUUUGAUUGGGGUGAUUAGAAAAUUUAAAGAACUUUUUUUUUAUUUUACAUUAAUAUAUGAAUAUUUGAUCCAUAAAUUAUGAUUAUAAGAUUAAAUUACCUAAGGGAUAACAGCGUUAUUUUUUUUGAGAGUUCUUAUCGAAAAAAAAGAUUGCGACCUCGAUGUUGGAUUAAAAUUAAAUUAUGGUGUAGAGGCUUUAAC